GACGAACGCUGGCGGCGUGCUUAACACAUGCAAGUCGAACGGAAAGGCCCUGCUUUUGUGGGGUGCUCGAGUGGCGAACGGGUGAGUAACACGUGAGUAACCUGCCCUUGACUUUGGGAUAACUUCAGGGAACUGGGGCUAAUACCGGAUAGGAGCUCCUGCUGCAUGGUGGGGGUUGGAAAGUUUCGGCGGUUGGGGAUGGACUCGCGGCUUAUCAGCUUGUUGGUGGGGUAGUGGCUUACCAAGGCUUUGACGGGUAGCCGGCCUGAGAGGGUGACCGGCCACAUUGGGACUGAGAUACGGCCCAGACUCCUACGGGAGGCAGCAGUGGGGAAUAUUGCACAAUGGGCGGAAGCCUGAUGCAGCAACGCCGCGUGCGGGAUGACGGCCUUCGGGUUGUAAACCGCUUUCGCCUGUGACGAAGCGUGAGUGACGGUAAUGGGUAAAGAAGCACCGGCUAACUACGU
rnacentral:rRNA from 1 species